AUUGAACGCUGGCGGCAGGCCUAACACAUGCAAGUCGAGCGGAUGAAGGGAGCUUGCUCCUGGAUUCAGCGGCGGACGGGUGAGUAAUGCCUAGGAAUCUGCCUGGAAGCGGGGGAUAACGUCCGGAAACGGGCGCUAAUACCGCAUACGUCGUGAGGGAGAAAGUGGGGGAUCUUCGGAUGUCACGCUAUCAGAUGAGCCUAGGUCGGAUUAGCUAGUUGGUGGGGUAAAGGCCUACCAAGGCGACGAUCCGUAACUGGUCUGAGAGGAUGAUCAGUCACACUGGAACUGAGACACGGCCGACACUCCUACGGUAGGCAGCAGUGGAGAAUAUUGGACGAUGGGCGAAUGCCUGAUCCAGCCAUGCCGCGGGUGUGAAGAAGGUCUUCGGAUUGUAAAGCACUUUAAGUUGGAGGGAAGUACAGUAAGUUAACACCUGGCUGUUUUGACGUUACCAGCAGAAUAAGCACCGGCUAACUUCGUG
rnacentral:rRNA from 1 species